UNAUGUUGCCAGCAAUGUUAUGGUGGGGANAUCGUGAGAGACUGCCGGGGUCAACUCGGAGGAAGGUGGGGAUGACGUCAAGUCAUCAUGCCCCUUAUGUCCAGGGCUUCACACAUGCUACAAUGGCCAGGUACAAAGGGCUGCGAUGACCGUGAGGUGGAGCGAAUCCAUUUCAAAGCCGGUCUCAGUGGGGGUCUGCAACUCGAGACCACCGUGAAGUCGGAGUCGGCUAGUAAAUCGCAUNAUCAAGCAACGCAUGCAGGUNAAU
rnacentral:rRNA from 1 species